GUCUGUGGCCAUGCCACCCUGAAUACACCUGAUCUUGUAUGAUCUCAGAAGCUAAGCAAAGUCAGGCCUGGUUAGUACUUGGAUGGGAGAAAUUAAUGAAAUGUAGAAU
rnacentral:rRNA from 1 species